GAGCUCGCGUCAACCACCGCAGUCAUGCCACCGCCGACACCACCAGCGCCUUCACCGCGCACCGUCUACGAUAUUGUGAAGUCACACAUACAGCUUCCAAUCAACCGCGACUACAAUGCCCUGAAGCGCGUGCUGCGCGAUUGGCUGGCGUACAGCACGCACACGCCGUUGCAGGAGAAGCCGACCUUCGCAGCGGAGCUAGUCAUCACCAUUACCCGCAUGCCGCCCGCGUCUCUGAGUACCAUCACACAGGUUGCAGGUAGCAUCAGCGGAGCUGCGGUCGGCGAGGCGCGUUCAGCGCGACGAGGAGGGCGUUGGUGGCCUUUGUCGGGCACGCGCGAGGGUCGCGAUGGCGCUGGCGACCCUGCGUUGGCCGCGAAGGUCGCCGGUGCUGCUUCAUCCUCUGCGCCCACCAUCCCUCCCUACGUGUACCGCAAGGUUGUGCCUCUCCACGUGUGGACUGCGGUGCUGCCGUGGGAAAUGCAGCGCGGGCUGUCCUUCAGUGAUCUGCAGCUGCCUCCGAGCGUGUCGUCGUCGCGUGGCGCCGAGUCAGGCUCGACUGCAUCCCCUGAAAAGACAGCGGCAGCGGCUGAUCCGCGCGCACCAUACGACAUACCAGUGCAGCCGCAGCAGCAGCGGCAGCAGGGGACAGCUGUGGAUGCUGAGGAAGAGGACCUGUAUGGGGUAGUCACGCCAUCUAUCGCCUCCCGCGAGGGCAACAGUGCGAGCGUGGCGACGGCGGCGCUGGCUCGCGCUCCGCUCGGUGCGGCGGCCACCGCCGCAGCAGCAGCAGCACCGACCUCCUCCUUGUCCAUCACACCCGCCGUGCCUGCGAUGUUGUUCCUCUCUGAUAUACGCUCUACCAAAGCCCACGGCAUCGGCUUCUGGAGUGGGGCGAUCCGUCAAGCCAUCGAUGUGCUCUUUGUUGGGCCGACGCUGCCUCGCUCAGUCGGUGGAGCCUCCGCGUCGUUUCGGAAACUUCGUCAACAGGACGGUAUGGCGCUGGUGAUGGAAAACAAAAUCUCCAGCGAGGUGCUUCAUCGCUUCUUCCCUCUGCAAGAGAUACGAUCUCCGUCGUCGUCCGCGGCGUCGGACUCGUCCGCCACCUUCUGCGUCCACUCCUUCGGGCACCUGGACCCACUGCCCCCGACACUCCACCCAUCGCGACUUGGAGUCGACGAUUGGCGGGAUGAAUAUCGCGGGUUGUCCUUCACCGUGGCGCCGGAUGCGCCGUACAACACUCCAGAGGAGGCACCACGGUAUGUCUUCGAGGUGCCACGUCACACACUGCGACCUGCCGUGGCGGCAGCACUGAAGGAGAGCCGAAACGCUCACCAAGAGCUACUGCCCGCCCGCGAUGCACGAGGCCGUGCUCACGGCAAAGCCGCGACGCCCAUUCACGAUUGCGAUGCGACCGGCAGCAAACUAUGUGAGCAGGCGGACGAUGACGUCUCCAUCGACCUUGUCGUGAACCUGUCGCAGCAGCUGCGCGCUGACCUCUUCGCCAAGGCGCAGCUGUGCGUGGAGUACGUGUCGUUGCUGGAGGAGGCUGUUGCCCACUAUACGCGCACACUCAGCACGGGCACUGCAGCCGCUGCAGAAGUACCACUGGACGAAAGGCCUCCUAAUCACGCGGACGCUGGCGCGGGAGCUGGAGCAGGGAGUGGAAGACGCAUGAAGGUGUGGCUGUCCGAGCACGAGUUCCGUUGGAUGACGCCAGAGGAGCUGAAGCAGGCCUCUGAAGCUGAAGCGGCGACCAAGCAGCAGGCUCAGACGAGCUCCUUGAUGCAUGUAGACGAGGAAAGCGUCUUUCAAGAAUCACGCAAAGAAGCUGCCGCCAUGACGCAAAUGAAAGACAAUGGCGUCGCUGUUGUCGGCGCGGCUGCUGAAGCAACGCUGCGCGGCAACGCCGCCAGCGCCGUGGCGGCACAGCCAGCUCGGCCGGAGGCCGUCAGCGCGGCUCGCAGCAUCAGUCUGCAGUCGCCCAUCCUGCGGGAUGAGGAAGAAGGCCGCCCUUCGUAUCUCGCUCCGUCGUUUGUGGGCCGUCACGAGGCACCCGUCCUUCAGAGCAGCGCCGUUGUGCUGAGCGCUGACAAGCUCGCGCGCUACCCCCGCACGCAUUCCCACAUGCAGGAGCUGCCGCCAGUAGACUAUGAGUUGUACGAGCUGUGCAUGCGUCUUGGGGUUGGGCAGCAGUCGGUCCUGUAUCACUACCACGAGCGCAUCCUGCACGAGUGGCGUCGUGAGUUGCACCGCCUGCGGCAGCAGCAGACUUGCGGUGCACCCGAGCCUCCCCACGUAACAGCCCCGUCACGCUUGGCUAAGGAAGAUGUGCAGCGCAUGGUGGGCCUCGUGCGAGACCGAAGCCUGCAACUGCCCUCCGACAUGGUCUCUCUCGUGGAGGCCGUGGCAGCGGCGAUGUGAUGCGGUGAAACAAGCAGUGGAAGGUGGCUGAAGCCCUCACCUCGCCCCCCCCCCACUCUGCCUCUCCCCUUCUCUCGGGCAUCAUUGUCGCCCACACAGCAGGACACCCAUGGCUGCUGCCGCUCGCGCGCCCACCAGCCUCCAUCCUCCCACCCCUUCUCGCCAGCAACGUCUGGACAUGUGGCUGUGUGGCAUGUGUUUGACGACGCCAUGAAGUGUGUGUGUGUGCCCGCGCGUGUAUGCGUCCACCUGAGUACCCUCCUCACACAUAAUAUGCGAAGAAGAGAAC
rnacentral:misc_RNA from 1 species